CAGAAAGACCCUAUGAAGCUUGACUGUAGCUUGGAAUUGGGUUCGGGCUUUUCUUGCGCAGCCUAGGUGGGAGGCUAUGAAGAAAUACUUCUGGGUAUUUUGGAGCCAUCAGUGAGAGACCACUCUGGAGAAGCUAGAAUUCUAAUGGCGUUCCUUGAAGCAGGACGCUUGACAGUUUCAGGUGGGCAGUUUGACUGGGGCGGUCACCUCCUAAAAGGUAACGGAGGUGUGCAAAGGUUCCCUCAGGCUGGACGGAAAUCAGCCGUAGAGUGUAAAGGCAGAAGGGAGCUUGACUGCAAGACCUACAAGUCGAGCAGGGGCGAAAGCCGGCCUUAGUGAUCCGACGGUUCCGUGUGGAAGGGCCGUCGCUAAACGGAUAAAAGUUACUCUAGGGAUAACAGGCUGA
rnacentral:rRNA from 1 species